ensembl:lncRNA
CUGCUAUGCUAUCUCUCAACGGUUUUCAUCUUUUCCUUUUUGGAGUGGUCCGUGCGGAGGUGCUCGACAUCAUUUGAAGGUAACUCAAAGGUCAUGCAGUGGUUGGGGAGACGUCCGGAAUGAAGCGUGCACUGUAGUUCGCCAUUCCCAGGAGGCUGAGAACUUCACUCAAGUUUUGAGGAAGUGACAUGUUGCUUAUCGCCUCAAGCUUCUUGGGGUCUGCUGAGAUGCCAUCUUGAAAUAAGUUUUAGCCAUAGAUCUCCAAAGAUGUUUUUUGAUACUCACUCUUGUCUUUGUCGAUUGUCAUGUUGUUCUCAUGAAGCCUUUGGAAGAUGGCUUCCAGUGAACAGUUGUGAGCUUCGGCUGAGAUCCCAAACACAAGAAUGCCGCAAUCACUGAAGUUUUUCCCUACUGGGUUUCCAUGGAGCACCUUGCUGAAUGAUGUGUUGGAAAACUU